UGUAAUGAACAUUUGAUUCUGAAUUUAAUUAAAACUUUUUGUGUGGGUUUCCCCCUCUUCCCCGACAGAAUGCUGCUGCCUAUUUGCAAGGUUAAUGCGGUGGUUUUCUAUAAUAAGACGAUGUGAGAUUUCCAGCUUGGAGCAACAGAGUAAGCCCACUGAGAUGAAAAUUACAGAGAUAAAACGAAUGGAUGCUGCUUUGGGAACAGUUCGAUGCAGUUCAAAGGCUCUUUCCUGACAGACUAAGUUUUGGCUCCUUUCUGAAAGCUUCUGAGCCUCGUGACAGAUGGCUCUUUGGGUUCCAGCUGUGUUCCUCCGGAAGGUCUCUCUUGUCUUGCAUGCAGAGGGCAACAUGUCUUCCAAGACACUUGAGUAAUGUCUCUGCUGCUCUCGGAGCAUCUUUCUCACGAUGGCCGGUGCAUAACAAUAUGAGUCACCUUGCAGGCUUCCAGCCUGUUUCAUUCCUUCUCCGAAUGACCGAGGUGCUCCCUGGGAGGAGGACAUUGGUUGUCCGCACAGAGUAGCGUUAGGCUUCCUUCUCCACUAGUGUGGCUCACCUUGAGGUUCUUCUCCCUGCCUGGAGACCACCCCGGGGAGCGUGGCCAUGCCACAAAGCUUCCACUGGUUCUCCAGGACCUGGUAAGCGACUUGGCCAUGCUGUGUGUGUGGAGCAAGGCGGUCUUGUCCUCACCCAAAGAUCAGGAGGAGAGCGAAGGGCAGCCACGGUCUUUCUCGCCCUCGUUUGAGCCCGGAGCUCUGCGGUCAGCUGUUCCCGAUGUGAGUGUCCACCUCCUCGCCCUGCCUGUCCUGGCCUCUUUGGGUCAUUUGAGCCCGGAGCUCUGCAGUCAGCUGUUCCCAAUGUGAGUGUCCAAAAGCCGCCACCUCCUCGCCCUGCCUGUCCUGGCCUCUUUGGGUGGCAUUUUAGAGUUUAAUUGCCCUUUGCCCAGAUUACAGAGGUGUCAGGUUCUUUUUAAAAAAACACUUAAGGUUUUAAACUGUCAUUUAGUGUUUAUGUUAAUUAAUAUGGCAAGGACGAUCUCCAGGUACCUUCCUAAACGGCAAUUAUCUGGCUGAACAUUCCUAGCAAUUUGAGUUUGUUAGUAAGAAUCUAAUUACAGUAGUUUACUGCUGAUGGAAUUACACAAGGAGGUAGCGUUCUCUGUUACAUACUUAUUAAGGCUCACUAAGUGAUCCUUUGCAGUCUGCUGUUAUUCAAUUACCAAGUAAUAACUUUCUUAACAAACCUAAUUGAAAUGUUUAUAUGAUUUACGUCAUCUUAACCUUUUUAUUUUUUUUAAAAAUAUUUUUUGGGUCAGAGUACUUUACAGUUGCUCCUUCCCCAUUUUCCUAAACAGAAACAAAGAUUUCUUCCAAGAGCUGUCAGAUGCAGGAAGAGGAGACUUGACACCCAUAUUGGUCAAUUCCUGUGCAUGAUGAUGCAUCACCAGAUGAUGCAGGGCAACAGAUUUAUUGCUUUGUUUUGUUUUCUCUGUGUGCAUGUGUAGGGGGCAUUUUUGUAAGGGU
rnacentral:lncRNA from 1 species